rnacentral:rRNA from 1 species
UACAGAGGUCUCAAGCGUUGUUCGGAUUCAUUGGGCGUAAAGGGUGCGUAGGCGGCGCGGUAAGUCGGGUGUGAAAUCUCGGGGCUUAACUCCGAAACUGCAUUCGAUACUGCCGUGCUUGAGGACUGGAGAGGAGACUGGAAUUUACGGUGUAGCGGUGAAAUGCGUAGAUAUCGUAAGGAACACCGGUGGCGAAGGCGGAUCUCUGGGCCGUGACUGACGCUGAGGAGCGAAAGCGUGGGGAGCGAACAGG